CCUGAAUGCCACAUCUGGGAGACAACUUUAUUUUGACAAGGAGACUAAUGCAGAGGAAACCUAUUUUACAAGCUGGUCUCUCAAGACACUGGGAACACAUCAUCAGCUUCACUGCUGAGGGGUUAAUCCAAGGUUGAGCAUGUGACCAUAGCUGAACUAAACGAGUUUAUCCUCACUCCCAGCCUCAGGUCACUGGAUUUAAUAUGGAUAAAGGCUGGUGCUAUGUCUCUUGCUCCAGAUGUACAAAGAAGCUUCAGCGGACGGUCUCAUCUUUUACUUGGCAACCUGCAGUAACACCAAUGCAGUUGGUUUCCUUCGAUAUGUUGGACCCUAAAAUGAGGUCCCAUAGACACAUCAGCAACUAACAUACAUUUUAAACAUUUUAUUUUAUGGAUCGUGUGGAAACAACUAGUGCUGAUGAGAUUGCUGAAAGUCUAUUUGUUGAU